UACGUAGGGGGCAAGCGUUGUCCGGAUUUAUUGGGCGUAAAGAGCGUGUAGGCGGCCAGGUAGGUCCGUUGUGAAAACUCGAGGCUCAACCUCGAGACGUCGAUGGAAACCAUCUGGCUAGAGUCCGGAGGAGGAGAGUGGAAUUCCUGGUGUAGCGGUGAAAUGCGCAGAUAUCAGGAAGAACACCCGUGGCGAAGGCGGCUCUCUGGGACGGUACUGACGCUGAGACGCGAAAGCGUGGGGAGCGAACAGG
rnacentral:rRNA from 1 species